rnacentral:rRNA from 1 species
CUGCCUACGGGGGGCAGCAGUAGGGAAUCUUCCACAAUGGACGAAAGUCUGAUGGAGCAACGCCGCGUGAGUGAAGAAGGGUUUCGGCUCGUAAAGCUCUGUUGGUAGUGAAGAAAGAUAGAGGUAGUAACUGGCCUUUAUUUUACGGUAAUUACUUAGAAAGUCACGGCUAACUACGUGCCAGCAUCCGCGGUAAUACCUAGGUGGCAAGCGUUGUCCGGAUUUAAUGGGCGUAAAGCGAGUGCAGGCGGCUCUAUAAGUCUGA